rnacentral:rRNA from 1 species
UACGUAGGGGGCGAGCGUUGUCCGGAUUUAUUGGGCGUAAAGAGCUCGUAGGCGGCUUGGCAAGUCGGGUGUGAAAACUCCAGGCUCAACCUGGAGACGCCACUCGAGACUGCUAUGGCUAGAGUCCGGUAGGGGACCACGGAAUUCCUGGUGUAGCGGUGAAAUGCGCAGAUAUCAGGAGGAACACCGGUGGCGAAGGCGGCACUCUGGGCCGAUACUGACACUGAGGAGCGAAAGCGUGGGGAGCGAACAGG